rnacentral:rRNA from 1 species
GACGAACGCUGGCGGCGUGCUUAACACAUGCAAGUCGAACGGUGAAGCGCCUUCCUUUUUGGUGGGUGUGGAUGAGUGGCGAACGGGUGAGUAACACGUGAGUAACCUGCCCCCUUCUUCUGGAUAACCGCAUGAAAGUGUGGCUAAUACGGGAUAUUCUGGGUCUGUCGCAUGAUGGGUCUGGGAAAGAUAUUGUUUCGGUGGGGGAUGGGCUCGCGGCCUAUCAGCUUGUUGGUGGGGUGAUGGCCUACCAAGGCGGUGACGGGUAGCCGGCCUGAGAGGGUGGACGGUCACACUGGGACUGAGACACGGCCCAGACUCCUACGGGAGGCAGCAGUGGGGAAUAUUGCACAAUGGGCGCAAGCCUGAUGCAGCGACGCCGCGUGAGGGAUGGAGGCCUUCGGGUUGUGAACCUCUUUCGCCAGUGAAGCAGACCUGCCUCGUUUGUGGGUGGGUUGACGGUAGCUGGAUAAGAAGCGCCGGCUAACUACGUG